AAAGAAUUAGUUAAAUUAUAUAACAUUAGAAUGUCAAACUAAAAUUAUUAAUAUAUUAAUAUUCUUUG
rnacentral:tRNA from 1 species